rnacentral:rRNA from 1 species
UGAGGAAUAUUGGUCAAUGGACGGAAGUCUGAACCAGCCAUGCCGCGUGAAGGAUGAAGGCGUUCUGCGUUGUAAACUUCUUUUAUCUGGGAAGAAACCACAGAUUUCUAUUUGUGUUGACGGUACCAGAGGAGUAAGCACCGGCUAACUCCGUGCCAGCAGCCGCGGUAAUACGGAGGGUGCGAGCGUUAUCCGGAUUUACCGGGUUUAAAGGGUACGUAGGCGGGCUAUUAAGUCAGAGGUGAAAUCUCCGGGCUCAACCUGGAAACUGCCUUUGAUACUAUUAGCCUUGAAUUAUGUUGAGGUUGGCGGAAUAUAACAUGUAGCGGUGAAAUGCUUAGAUAUGUUAUGGAACACCGAUUGCGAAGGCAGCUGGCUAAACAUAUAUUGACGCUGAUGCACGAAAGCGUGGGUAGCGAACA